CAGCAGCAAUGCCCAGCCGACCGGUACUAAUAGGCCGAACACUUGCCACACAA
rnacentral:rRNA from 1 species